rnacentral:rRNA from 1 species
ACGAACGCUGGCGGCGUGCUUAACACAUGCAAGUCGUACGGUAAGGCCCUUUCGGGGGUACACGAGUGGCGAACGGGUGAGUAACACGUGAGUAACCUGCCCACAACUUUGGGAUAACGCUAGGAAACUGGUGCUAAUACUGGAUAUGUGCUCCUGCUGCAUGGUGGGGGUUGGAAAGCUCCGGCGGUUGUGGAUGGACUCGCGGCCUAUCAGCUUGUUGGUGGGGUAGUGGCCUACCAAGGCGGCGACGGGUAGCCGGCCUGAGAGGGUGACCGGCCACAUUGGGACUGAGAUACGGCCCAGACUCCUACGGGAGGCAGCAGUGGGGAAUAUUGCACAAUGGGCGCAAGCCUGAUGCAGCAACGCCGCGUGCGGGAUGACGGCCUUCGGGUUGUAAACCGCUUUCAGCAGGGACGAAGCUUUUUGUGACGGUACCUGCGGAAGAAGCACCGGCUAACUACGUG